rnacentral:tRNA from 3 species
GGUGGCAUGGCCAAACGGUUAAGGCGAAUGUCUGCAAAACCUUGACUCUCGGUUCAAAUCCGAGUGCCACCUCCA